GCGGGUGUGGCGGAAUUGGUAGACGCAGCGGACUCAAAAUCCGCCUCUGAGGAAUCAGAUUGUCGGUUCGAGUCCGACCACCCGUACCA
rnacentral:tRNA from 1 species